rnacentral:rRNA from 1 species
AUGAUAGCUCCAAAGGUUAAUUUUUUGUGCUGGAAUGUCAGAGGGCUAAAUGACCCGGACAGACGUGCGACUGUGCACGAGACGAUCGCCUCCACCUCAUGCCACAUCGUCUGCCUUCAGGAGUCCAAGAUGGAAAACGUCGACCAGUACGUCGCCUCCUACCUUGGUGGUAAUACACUCCGUAGCUUUGCUCAGCGUCCGGCCACUGGAUCCAGAGGGGGCCUCCUCAUGCUCUGGGAUGAUAGUGUCGUUCGCAUAUCCGAUGUCCACAUCACAGAGUUCUGCCUUUCCGCAACGGUCAACGUCAUUCAUUCCGAUACCCCUUUCAAGAUCACUAGUGUCUAUGGUCCAACGGCCUCCAACAGAAAGGAUGAUUUCUUCAGUGAGUUGAUCGCUCAAAAACCCAUCAAUGGCACUAAAUGGAUUGUCGUGGGCGACUUCAACCAGAUUUACCGAGCACGAGAUAAAAAUAACAGGAACAUCAAUCGCAACCGUCUCAACCGCUUCCGUGCUACACUAGACACUUGUGAACUAAAAGAGAUC